rnacentral:rRNA from 1 species
UACCUGCAGCUCGAGUGGUGAUCGUUAUUAUUGGGCCUAAAACGUCCGUAGCCGGUCUUAUAAAUGCCUGGGUAAAUCGUAUGGCUUAACCAUACGAAUUCCGGGUAGACUGUUUGACUUGAGACCGGGAGAAGCUAGAGGUACUCCUGGGGUAGAAGUGAAAUUCUGUAAUCCUAGGGGGACCACCAGUGGCGAAGGCGUCUAGCUAGAACGGGUCUGACGGUGAGGGACGAAGCCCUGGGGCGCAAAACGGGGAUUAGAUACCCCGGUAGUCCAGGGUGUAAACGCUGCUUGCUUGAUGUUAGUCUGGCUCCGAGCCAGAUUAGUGUCGGAGAGAAUUGUUAAGCAAGCUGCCUGGGAAGUACGGCCGCAAGCUAGAAACUUAAAGGAAUUGGCGGGGAGCACAGCAACGGGUGGAGCGGUGCGGUUU